rnacentral:miRNA from 1 species
CUAUUAUGUUGGUGCAAAUGUAAUUGCGGUUUUUGCCAUUACUUUCAAUAGCAAAUAACGCAGUUAUAUUUGCACCAAC